rnacentral:rRNA from 1 species
AACGAACGCUGGCGGCAUGCCUAACACAUGCAAGUCGAACGAGAUCUUCGGGUCUAGUGGCGCACGGGUGCGUAACGCGUGGGAAUCUGCCCUUUGGUUCGGAAUAACAGUUGGAAACGACUGCUAAUACCGGAUGAUGACGAAAGUCCAAAGAUUUAUCGCCAGAGGAUGAGCCCGCGUAGGAUUAGCUAGUUGGUGUGGUAAAGGCGCACCAAGGCGACGGUACGUAGCUGGUCUGAGAGGAUGAUCAGCCACACUGGGACUGAGACACGGCCCAGACUCCUACGGGAGGCAGCAGUGGGGAAUAUUGGACAAUGGGCGAAAGCCUGAUCCAGCAAUGCCGCGUGAGUGAUGAAGGCCUUAGGGUUGUAAAGCUCUUUUACCCGGGAUGAUAAUGACAGUACCGGGAGAAUAAGCUCCGGCUAACUCCGUGCCAGCAGCCGCAGUAA